GACGGAGGAUGCAAGUGUUAUCCGGAAUCACUGGGCGUAAAGCGUCUGUAGGUCGUUUAAAAAGUCUACUGUUAAAAAUUGAAGCUUAACUUCAAAGAUGCCGUAGAAACUUUUAAACUUGAGUAUGGUAGGGGUAGAGGGAAUUUCCAGUGGAGCGGUGAAAUGCGUAGAUAAUUGGAAAGACCACCAAUGGGCGAAGGCAGCCCUCUGGGCCAACACUGAACGCUCAGGCACGAAAGCGUGGGGAG
rnacentral:rRNA from 1 species